rnacentral:rRNA from 1 species
CGGCGGACGGGUGAGUAACACGUGGAUAACCUACCUAUAAGACUGGGAUAACUUCGGGAAACCGGAGCUAAUACCGGAUAAUAUAUUGAACCGCAUGGUUCAAUAGUGAAAGACGGUUUUGCUGCCACUUAUAGAUGGAUCCGCGCCGCAUUAGCUAGUUGGUAAGGUAACGGCUUACCAAGGCAACGAUGCGUAGCCGACCUGAGAGGGUGAUUGGCCACACUGGAACUGAGACACGGUCCAG